rnacentral:rRNA from 1 species
CGCGUAUACAAUCUGCCUUGUACUGAGGGAUAGCCUUUGGAAACGAAGAUUAACACCUCAUAGUAUAUUGACUUGGCAUCAAGACAAUAUUAAAGGUUACGGUACAAGAUGAGUAUGCGUCCUAUUAGCUAGAUGGUGUGGUAACGGCAUACCAUGGCGACGAUAGGUAGGGGCCCUGAGAGGGGGAUCCCCCACACUGGUACUGAGACACGGACCAGACUCCUACGGGAGGCAGCAGUGAGGAAUAUUGGACAAUGGAGGCAACUCUGAUCCAGCCAUGCCGCGUGCAGGAAGACUGCC